rnacentral:tRNA from 1 species
GGAGGCGCAUCUUGUCCGGUGACGGGCGCGGUCUUCAAAACCGUUGUGCCGUAGCGAUAGUUACGGCAGGUCGGGUUCGACUCCCACACGCCUCCGCCA